CCUACGGGAGGCAGCAGUAGGGAAUCUUCCACAAUGGACGAAAGUCUGAUGGAGCAAUGCCGCGUGAGUGAAGAAGGUUUUCGGAUCGUAAAACUCUGUUGUGAGGGAAGAACAAGUACGAGAGUAACUGCUCGUACUUUGACGGUACCUCAUUAGAAAGCCACGGCUAACUACGUGCCAGCAGCCGCGGUAAU
rnacentral:rRNA from 1 species